GAAAUAUCAGCCUCGGUCACUGUGGGCUCUGGAGAAUUUAGCACUGCUUUUAGUUAAACGAUGUUCCUUCCAUUUUUGCUGCUGCUGGCAGCUUCAUCCUAUGUGGAAUGUGCAGUAGAACUCACUCAGGUCACCUCAGUGAUGUUAAAGCCAGGAGACUCUUUAACCCUCAGCUGUAAAGUAUCCGGCUACUCUGUAACUGAUAACAGCUACGCCACAGCUUGGAUUCGACAACCUGCAGGGAAAACUCUGGAGUGGAUAAACCACAUUUGGGGUGGUGGAAGUAUUUAUAAUAAAGAUUCUCUAAAAAACAAGUUCAGUAUUUCUAAAGACGGCUCCAGCAGCACGGUGACUCUGAGAGGACAGAAUCUGCAGACAGAAGACACAGCUGUGUAUUACUGCGCCCGCUACACACACUGAUGCUUCUGCUUAGCU